rnacentral:rRNA from 1 species
GAUGAACGUUGGCGGCGUGCCUAAUACAUGCAAGUCGAACGAAGACUGUAGUAAUACUGUCUUAGUGGCGAAACGGGUGAGUAACGCGUGGGUGACCUGCCCCGAAGUGUGGGAUAACAGUUCGAAAGGAUUGCUAAUACUGCAUAAUAUCCAAGAGAUUAGACGCUUUUGGAUUAAAGGAGUAAUUCGCUUCGGGAGGGGCCCGCGUCCCAUCAGCUAGUUGGUAAGGUAAUGGCUUACCAAGGCGAUGACGGGUAGGGGACCUGAGAGGGUGGCCCCCCACAAUGGAACUGAAACACGGUCCAUACACCUACGGGUGGCAGCAGUAGGGAAUAUUAGUAAUGGGCGAAAGCCUGAACUAGCAACGCCGCGUGUGCGAAGAAGGCCUUCGGGUUGUAAAGCACUUUUUGAGAGGAUGAGGAAGGACGGUACUCUCAGAAUAAGUCUCGGCUAACUACGUG